UGGCUUGAGGUUUCCUCAGAGACCC
rnacentral:piRNA from 1 species